UGGGGAAUAUUGCACAAUGGGCGAAAGCCUGAUGCAGCAACGCCGCGUGAGUGAUGAAGGCCUUCGGGUUGUAAAGCUCUGUCUUUUGGGACGAUAAUGACGGUACCAAAGGAGGAAGCCACGGCUAACUACGUGCCAGCAGCCGCGGUAAUACGUAGGUGGCAAGCGUUGUCCGGAUUUUACUGGGCGUAAAGGAUGCGUAGGCGGAUUUUUAAGUGAGAUGUGAAAUACCCGGGCUUAACUUGGGUGCUGCAUUUCAAACUGGGAAUCUAGAGUGCGGGAGAGGAGAAUGGAAUUCCUAGUGUAGCGGUGAAAUGCGUAGAGAUUAGGAAGAACACCAGUGGCGAAGGCGAUUCUCUGGACCGUAACUGACGCUGAGGCAUGAAAGCGUGGGUAGCAAACAGGAUUAGAUACCCUGGUAGUCCACGCCGUAAACGAUGAGUACUAGGUGUAGGAGGUAUCGACCCCUUCUGUGCCGCAGUUAACACAAUAAGUACUCCGCCUGGGAAGUACGAUCGCAAGA
rnacentral:rRNA from 1 species